UACAGAGGGUGCAAGCGUUAAUCGAAAUGACUGGGCGUAAAGGGCACGUAGGCGGCCGAAUAAGUUGGAUGUGAAAGCCCUGGGCUUAACCUAGGAAUGGCAUUCAAAACUGAUUGGCUAGAGUAUGGUAGAGGUAAGUGGAAUUUCCGGUGUAGCGGUGAAAUGCGUAGAUAUCGGAAGGAACACCCGUGGCGAAGGCGGCUACCUGGCCCAAUACUGACACUCAGGUGCGACAGCGUGGGGAGCAAACAGG
rnacentral:rRNA from 1 species